CCCCCCUUAGCUCAGUCGGUCAGAGCAGGCGACUCAUAAUCGCUUGGUCACUGGUUCAAGUCCAGUAGGGGGGACCA
rnacentral:tRNA from 1 species